rnacentral:rRNA from 1 species
UGCAACCCGACUCCAUGAAGCUGGAUUCGCUAGUAAUCGCGCAUCAGCCACGGCGCGGUGAAUACGUUCCCGGGCCUUGUACACACCGCCCGUCAAGCCAUGGAAGCCGGGGGGUGCCUGAAGUGCGCUGCCGCAAGGAGCGCCCUAGGGUAAAAACCGGUGACUGGGGCUAAGUCGUAACAAGGUACC